rnacentral:tRNA from 1 species
UAUGAGGUGGUCGAAAAAUUAGUCGUUAGAUUGUAAAUCUAUGAAUAAGUUAAAUAACUUUCUCGUAG